AUUGCACUUGUCUCGGUCUGA
rnacentral:ncRNA from 3 species